GGCAAGAUGGCCGAGUUGGUCUAAGGCGCACGGUUCAGGUCCGUGUCUCGAAAGGGGCGUGGGUUCAAAUCCCACUCUUGUCA
rnacentral:tRNA from 5 species